GGACGAACGCUGGCGGCGUGCCUAAUACAUGCAAGUUGAGCGCUGAAGGUUGGUACUUGUACCAACUGGAUGAGCAGCGAACGGGUGAGUAACGCGUGGGGAAUCUGCCUUUGAGCGGGGGACAACAUUUGGAAACGAAUGCUAUUACCGCAUAAAAACUUUAAAAACAAGUUUUAAGUUUGAAAGAUGCAAUUGCAUCCCUCAAAGAUGAUCCCGCGUUGUAUUAGCUAGUUGGUGAGGUAAAGGCUUACCAAGGCGAUGAUACAUAGCCGACCUGAGAGGGUGAUCGGCCACAUUGGGACUGAGACACGGCCCAAACUCCUACGGGAGGCAGCAGUAGGGAAUCUUCGGCAAUGGACGAAAGUCUGACCGAGCAACGCCGCGUGAGUGAAGAAGGUUUUCGGAUCGUAAAACUCUGUUGGUAGAGAAGAACGUUGGUGAGAGUGGAAAGCUCAUCAAGUGACGGUAACUACCCAGAAAGGGACGGCUAACUACGUG
rnacentral:rRNA from 1 species